UUUAACGGCCGCGGUAUUUUGACCGUGCAAAGGUAGCGCAAUCACUUGUCUUUUAAAUGAAGACCUGUAUGAAUGGCAUAACGAAGGCUUAACUGUCUCCUUUUUCCAGUCAAUGAAAUUGAUCCCCCCGUGCAGAAGCGGGGAUAAAUACAUAAGACGAGAAGACCCUAUGGAGCUUUAGACUAAAACAGACCUUGUAAUAACACAAACACAAAACAAAUUGAUUACUGUCUUAAUGUCUUCGGUUGGGGCGACCAAGGGGAAAAAAACAACCCCCAUGUGGAAAGAGAAAAUCCUCUUACAAUUCAGAUAAACACAUCUAAUCACCAGAACUUCUGACCAAAUAUGAUCCGGUAUUACCGAUCAACGAACCAAGUUACCCUAGGGAUAACAGCGCAAUCCUUUUUUAGAGUCCAUAUCGACAAAAGGGUUUACGACCUCGAUGUUGGAUCAGGACAUCCUAAUGGUGUAGCCGCUAUUAAGGGUUCGUUUGUUCAACGAUUAAAGUCCU
rnacentral:rRNA from 1 species